UACGGAGGAUCCAAGCGUUAUCCGGAUUUAUUGGGUUUAAAGGGUGCGUAGGCGGCUUAUUACGUCAGGGGUGAAAGACGGUGGCUCAACCAUCUCAGUGCCCUUGAUACUGAUGAGCUUGAAUACACUUGAGGUAGGCGGAAUGUGACAAGUAGCGGUGAAAUGCAUAGAUAUGUCACAGAACACCAAUUGCGAAGGCAGCUGACUAAGGUGCAAUUGACGCUGAGGCACGAAAGCGUGGGGAUCAAACAGG
rnacentral:rRNA from 1 species